rnacentral:rRNA from 1 species
GACGAACGCUGGCGGCGUGCCUAAUACAUGCAAGUUGAGCGAUGAAGAUUGGUGCUUGCACCAAUUUGAAGAGCAGCGAACGGGUGAGUAACGCGUGGGGAAUCUGCCUUUGAGCGGGGGACAACAUUUGGAAACGAAUGCUAAUACCGCAUAACAACUUUAAACAUAAGUUUUAAGUUUGAAAGAUGCAAUUGCAUCACUCAAAGAUGAUCCCGCGUUGUAUUAGCUAGUUGGUGAGGUAAAGGCUCACCAAGGCGAUGAUACAUAGCCGACCUGAGAGGGUGGUCGGCCACAUUGGGACUGAGACACGGCCCAAACUCCUACGGGAGGCAGCAGUAGGGAAUCUUCGGCAAUUGACGAAAGUCUGACCGAGCAACGCCGCGUGAGUGAAGAAGGUUUUCGGAUCGUAAAACUCUGUUGGUAGAGAAGAACGUUGGUGAGAGUGGAAAGCUCAUCAAGUGACGGUAACUACCCAGAAAGGGACGGCUAACUACGUG